rnacentral:rRNA from 1 species
AGAAUCAACGCUGGCGGCGUGCCUAACACAUGCAAGUCGAUCGAGAAAGUGGAGCAAUCCAUGAGUAAAGAGGCGCACGGGUGAGUAACACGUGACUAACCUACCCUCGAGUGGGGAAUAACCUGGGGAAACCCGGGCUAAUACCGCAUAAUACCUACGGGUCAAAGGAGCAAUUCGCUUGAGGAGGGGGUCGCGGCAGAUUAGUUAGUUGGCGGGGUAAUGGCCCACCAAGACGAUGAUCUGUA